CCUACGGGCGGCUGCAGUAAGGAAUAUUGGUCAAUGGACGCAAGUCUGAACCAGCCAUGCCGCGUGGAGGAUGAAGGUCCUCUGGAUUGUAAACUUCUUUUAUUUGGGAAGAAACUCCCGAUUUCCAUCGGGAUUGACGGUACCAGAUGAAUAAGCACCGGCUAACUCCGUGCCAGCAGCCGCGGUAACACGGAGGGUGCAAGCGUCACUCGGUUUCAAGGGGGCGAAGGUGGGCGUGGAAGUCAGUGGUGAAAUCUCCGGGCUUAACCCGGAAACUGCCAUUGAUACUGUUUGUCUUGAAUACUCUGGAGGUGAGCGGAAUAUGUCAUGUAGCGGUGAAAUGCUUAGAUAUGACAUAGAACACCCAUUGCGAAGGCAGCUCACUACGGAAAUAUUGACGCUGAGGCACGAAAGCGUGGGGAUCAAACAGGAUUAGAUACCCCUGUAGUC
rnacentral:rRNA from 1 species